AGCUCCAAUAGCGUAUAUUAAAGUUGUUGCGGUUAAAAAGCUCGUAGUUGGAUUUCUGCUAAGGACGACCGACCGACCCAUACGGGUUUGUGUCUGGUUUGACCGAGGCAUCCUCCUGGAAGACGUGGUGCCUUUACUGGUAUCACGGAGUCCAGGACUUUUACUUUGAGGAAAUUAGAGUGUUUCAAGCAGGCAUUUGCCGUGAAUACAUUAGCAUGGAAUAAUAAGAUAGGACUUCGGUUCUAUUUUGUUGGUUUCUAGAACUGAAGUAAUGAUUAAUAGGGACAGUCGGGGGCAUUCGUACUUAAUUGUCAGAGGUGAAAUUCUUGGAUUUAUUAAAGACGAACUACUGCGAAAGCAUUUGCCAAGGAUGUUUUCAUUG
rnacentral:rRNA from 1 species